CUAAAGGCCAUCAAGUUGACAUUGAAAGCUGGAGGAGGUUGCCUCUCACUUGAGCCCAUUGGGCUGAAGAAAGAAUUACUCCCCAUGCUGUUCUGUAGCCCUUCUUGUUCAGGCUUAUGAGUGCACAAAGCCCCUCAUGCUGUACAGUGCCCAAGAUCUCCCUGGAAAUUCCUGUUUCAAAUUAAGUUUGAAGAUUUGUCAUACAAUAGAGAUUUGAUAACUCCACCUCCCCACAUCUGGGAGGAGAAGGUAUGGCUGUCAUUUGCAGAGCCCUUCCCUUGAAUUGAGGCAAUUCUCUGAACGAGUCCAGGUACUGUACGUGGUUGAUGGAAGAGCACUUGCUGGAUUUUGCUCUAUAACUGUACCUGGCAGUGUGAGAGAAAAAUAACAGUACACCCAUGGUUAUGGAGGUUACUUGGGAGGUACCCAAAUUAGCCAGCUUGAUGUCCCAAUAUUUCAGCCCAUCUGCUCAAGCAGGGAUUUACCUACUACCGUGAAUUGUUUCUUGCUAUCUAUUGGGUAAUAUUAUGCAUUAAUUUCUGCAAAUGGAUUUAGGUAUGACAUUUUUGACAGUUGUUGAGCUGAAUUAGAUUAAUAAUGUAUUUUUAUAAUCCUCUGUUCAUUUAAAAAUAUUACAGUGCAGUGUUUUGAGAGAGCCUCUAGGUUUAAAAUAAAGUUGUCUUAUUGUAGUUGAUACUGGCAAAAGAAAAA